AAACACCCAAGAAUUAUCAAUAAAAAAAUAAAUUAAAAAAAAAAAUAAAUAAAUAAAUCCAGCAAAAAUAAAAAUAAAAAAUAAAAUCCCCUUGAAUACAUUUGAGGUAAUGUUGUAGUUUUCAGCUCCUCCCACGAGAGAUUUUAUGGAGUGCCUAACUGUGCUACCCGGGUGCUGCUCCUGUCGUUAGUGGUGGCACCCAGGAGGAAUUAAAAUUACAAGAGUGUUUCCUUCCAGAUGUUGUUGCUACAGGCUCAAGGUGCUCUUUUAACUGGGACAUCAGGCUUUCUUGAAAUAGACAAGAAUUCUAGAAACAUGACAUUGUGCCUGAUUCAUCGCUUCAACUUGCCACUGACUCAUUCUCUCCUUGAUAGGUUAUUCAACAGUAACUUUAAUUACAUCAUUUACUUAUUGUUUUCUUCCUUGAUUUAUUCUCUUUCUACAAUUCUUGUUUAUCAUCUCAGUGAUUGGACCAUCUCACCUCUGAGACUUGGGUAGAAUUCUGUGGACUCUGGAAAUAGACAUGGAGGUUUUCAUGUAUCUCUGUUAAUGUGUACAAACACCCCCAGGCUUGUACACUUGAAAUACAUCAGUAGGAAGGGUAGUUCUCAAUUUGCUAGUGUUUCACACAGCUUGUCUUAUUUAAUGAUCUCAGCUGCCCUAUGAAGUAGAUACCAUCCUAUUAAAAAAUGCAGGAGCAGAGGCUCUGAGAGGGGACUGUAACUUACCCAAGAUCAUGUGGUAGAUUGCAAAACUGGUUCCAAAUCCCUACCCUUCCCUGUACGCACACCUUUUGCCAUUCAUCUGCAAUGUCCUUUUCUGAUUCUGGGCUCAGCAAUAUAACUUGCUCUGGCCAACAGGAUAACAACAGCAAAUGUGAUGUAAGCAAAAGCUUGAGAAAUACUUGUGCAACUAAUCAUGUUUGCCUUCUCUCUUGUACCUGUGCCAUUGCCAUGAGAACAUGCCUGGGCUAGGAUUAGAGACACUUGGAGCAGAGCUGAGUCAUCCCAGCUGUCCCAGUUGAGGCCAGCCUAGGUCAGUCGAUGGCAACCAAGCCCUAAGCAUGUUAGUGAGCCCAGCCAUGAUCAGCACAACCACCUAGCCAACCAUCCCAGACCUGUGAUCAAUAAAGCCUUACUAUUCCAUACCACCUAGGUUUUGUGAUUAUUUAUUUCACAGAAUUAUUAUGGCAGUAUGUAACUGAUAGAAGCGGUGUACAGGGAAGAGUAUUUGUUAGUCCGUUUUCACACUGCUGAUAAAGACAUAUGCGAGACUGAGCAAUUUACAAAAGAAAGAGGUUUAAUGGACUUACAGUUCCACGUGGCUGGGGAAGCCUCACAAUUGUGGUGAAAGGUGAAAGUCACAUCUCACAUGGCAGCAGACAAGAGAAGAAGAGCUUGUGCAGGGAAACUCCCCUUUUAAAAACCAUCAGAUCUCAUGAUACUUAUUCACUAUCAUCAGAAUAGCCUGGGAAAGACCUGUCCCCAUGAUUCAGUUACUUCCCACCGUGUCACUCCCACAACAAGUGGGAAUUCAAGAUGAGAUUUGGGUAGGGACACAGCAAAACCAUAUUAGAGCAGAUCUCUGGAAUUGGGCAGGCCAAGGUUUGAAUCCCAUCUGUUAUUUGGAGUGUGUGUUUCUUUUUGAGACUAAUCUCCUUACCCUUGAAAUGAGGUAAUAUACUUCCCUCAUAGGGUUGCUGGGAAGAUUAAACACGAGGUGAAGUAAAUAAAGCCCCAGGGACAUAAGCAAAAAAUAAUGGCUUCUCACAGCAAUGCUCCAGAACAUACAACAAGGGAAUACUGGGCCCAGUCCCAGGACUAUCCAAGUGUGAAGCCAACACCUUUUCACAUCAACUCCAAGUUCCAUGGGCUGACUGGACUCCACUGGGAGUUCUUGAUGUCUCUCGUGUGGUUGUGUGAGAUAGUGGCUGGGACUGGACUCAUCUGAAGGCUUGACUGGGCUGGAUGCCCAAGAUAGCCCACUUUUAGACAGAGGUGGCUGGCAGUUGAUGCUGACUGUCAGCUGGGGACUCAGCUGAGAGUGUUAACUGGAGUCCCUAGACGUGGCUUCUCCACAUGGCUUGGGCUUCUCAUGGAAGGGCACCUGGAUUCUGAGAGAGAGCAUCCCAAGAGACACAAGUGGAAAUGAUAAGGCUUCUUAUGACGUAGACUGGAGGUACUGAGACAUCACUUUUGCUACAUUAGAAGGUUAGAUGCUGACAUUUUAUGAUUUCACAACUUGGAUCCUCUGUCCUCUGAUACUGAAUCAGAUAGUAGUUUAUGGAGCUGAGCAGAGAGCCAGCUGGUCCUGGGCACAGAGGAGGCUGUGUUCCAUGCUGAAGACAAGAACAUAUGGUGGACGUACCAUCCUAACUAUCUGGGAAGGGAGCUUCGUGGCUACAUGGGAGUUAUCAUCUGCCAGUGCCGGCUGCAUCCUGGCUGUGCCCACCUCUGGACUCUGAAUCUCUGCACCUCAGUACCCCCAACCCCAACACGACUGUGAUGUUAGGCAUAUAUUAGGCAUGUGAAGAUGAGAAAGAGAAGAUACAGCUCCCAUGUUUAUCUCCAUGAGAAGAUAAGCCACAGGGAGAGAGAAAGACUGUUGUGCACGAGAGGGAGUGUCAAAUGCCAAAUGGAUGUCAGCAGUCGGGGUGUGCUAGAGGCACUCAGGGGAAGGGAGGCUGGGCAUAGAGGGUCAUGCUGGAGGAGGUGACUCUGGAUCUGAAUCUUGAAAGGGCACCAUCACAUACACUAUAAUAUGAAUCAUGACCCCCGGAGUUGUGUGGAGUUUCUGCAUCUCUCCCUCCCCACUGUGGCUACCCUCAUCCAGCAACCAUCCUGUCUCUCACCGGUAUUACCGCAGCUGAGACCCAGGUCUUAAGGAAGCUGAGACCCAGGCCAGCAGGGGCCUCACAGCUUGGAAAAAGAGGAGGGUGUAAGACUCUGGAUGAAGCUGAGAGAUCCUUCCAUGCUUGGCUGAGAGACUACACAGACAUGAGCUUCAGGAGACUCCAAAGCCUCGGAUCCCCUUCUAAACUAGCACUGAAUUCUGAUUGGCUGUCUUUGCCUGCCUCAGUUUGUUCCUUUUACUGAUUGGCUAGGUUCUUCUGCCCAUGGCAGAGCCCUGCUCCAGCCACCGGAUCCUCCCACCUGCCACAGUGUCACCUGGGAUUGGCUGGGCUCUGAAAGGCCAGGCUGGCUUGACUCUUGCCAUCAUCAGAUUCUUCCUCAUUAAACAAAUGAAUCACAAUCCUAAUUAAUUUGAGCAACAGAAUUUAUGUAACUACUCCCAGCAGGAUGUCUGCUCUCAGUCAGCAGAGAGAUUACUUCCUCUCUCUGGGAAAUUCCAGCCUUGCUGGUCAAUAAGCCUUAAUGAUGACUGAAAUCUCCCAUCUGUCUCUGCUCAGGGCAGGUAACCCCUACUAAGCAGACACCCAGUUGGCUCGAGGCAGUACCCCGGGCACCGGCAGGACAAGGACAACGAUCUCCCAGCCUAGAUGUGUCCUGAGCCACAUGGAGCACACAGAUUACAGGAUCUGACUCCCAUUUGGGCCUUCCACCUCCGCUGGCCUAAGCAGUCAAGUGUCAGAGAGCACUGGACCUAACAGCUCCCUCACCAGAGCAGCUGUGAUUCCUUCUUCAUUUCCAGCAGGGAAGACCCAACAACUUUUAUAAUAUGGGAUUUCUUUUAUUCUCAUGAUAAUAAUGUUCAUUGUGGAAAAUAAAAAAAAAUGAUAAAAUAAAAAUCAGCCAGAAUUCCAACUUCUGGAGAUUUUGGUGUCUUUCUGCAAAGUUCCUAUGCACAUAGAUACUUUAUAAAAUUAUGAACAUACUGUACAUACAGUUUUGGAAUAUGCCUUUUUCCUUCUGUCAUGAAAAAGUCUUCAAAUGCCUUUUAACAGCUACACAAUAGUUCACUACAUGAACCAACUCAAAUGUAACUAUUUUUGGCCUUUUGUUAUAAAUAACACAAGAACCCUCAGUCUUUGUUACAUAAUGUCCUAACAGAGUAGGGGAAAUGCUCCCCAAUCCGGUGCAAUGUCCUGUGCCCAGGGAAACCAAUU
rnacentral:lncRNA from 10 species